UACGUAGGGCGCAAGCGUUGUCCGGAAUUAUUGGGCGUAAAGAGCUCGUAGGUGGUUUGUUACGUCUGCUGUGAAAACCUAGGGCUUAACCCUGGGCCUGCAGUGGAUACGGGCAGACUAGAGGUAGGUAGGGGAGAGUGGAAUUCCCGGUGUAGCGGUGAAAUGCGCAGAUAUCGGGAGGAACACCGGUGGCGAAGGCGGUUCCCUGGGCCUUACCUGACACUGAGGAGCGAAAGCGUGGGGAGCGAACAGG
rnacentral:rRNA from 1 species